GUGCUCGCUUCAGCAGCACAUAUGCUAAAAUUGGAACGAUACAGAGAUUACUAUGGCCCCUGUGCAAGAAUGACACGCGAAUUUAUGAUGCAUUCCAUAUUUUU
rnacentral:snRNA from 1 species